rnacentral:rRNA from 1 species
AUUGAACGCUGGCGGCAGGCCUAACACAUGCAAGUCGAACGGCAGCGGGGAUAGCUUGCUAUCCUGCCGGCGAGUGGCGGACGGGUGAGUAAUGCAUGGGGAGCUGCCCAGUCGAGGGGGAUAACAACUGGAAACGGUUGCUAAUACCGCAUACGCCCUAAGGGGGAAAGGUGGGGAACUUCGGUCCUACCGCGAUUGGAUGCGCCCAUGUGGGAUUAGCUAGUUGGUGAGGUAACGGCUCACCAAGGCGACGAUCUCUAGCUGGUCUGAGAGGAUGACCAGCCACACUGGAACUGGGACACGGUCCAGACUCCUACGGGAGGCAGCAGUGGGGAAUAUUGCACAAUGGGGGAAACCCUGAUGCAGCCAUGCCGCGUGUGUGAAGAAGGCCUUCGGGUUGUAAAGCACUUUCAGUCAGGAGGAAGGGGUGAUGGCUAAUAUCCAUCAUCAUUGACGUUACUGACAGAAGAAGCACCGGCUAACUCCGUGCCAGCAGCCGCGGUAA